ACGAAGCCGCGAGGUGGAGNAAACCCAAAAAAGACAGUCUCAGUUCGGAUUGAAGGCUGAAAUUCGCCUUCAUGAAGCCGGAAUUGCUAGUAAUGGCAGGUCAGCAUACUGCCGUGAAUACGUUCCCGGGCCUUGUACACACCGCCCGUCACACCAUGAGAGUUGGGGAUACCCGAAGCCUGUGAGCUAACUUUUAGAGGCAGCAGUCGAAGGUAGAAUCAAUGAUUGGGGUGAAGUCGUAACAAGGUAAC
rnacentral:rRNA from 1 species